rnacentral:rRNA from 1 species
UACAGAGGGGGCAAGCGUUGUUCGGAAUUACUGGGCGUAAAGGGCGCGUAGGCGGCCUGCUAAGUCGAACGUGAAAUCCCCGGGCUCAACCCGGGAACUGCGUCCGAUACUGGCAGGCUUGAAUCCGGGAGAGGGAUGUGGAAUUCCAGGUGUAGCGGUGAAAUGCGUAGAUAUCAGGAGGAACACCUGUGGCGAAAGCGGCUCACUGGACCAUUACUGACACUGAGGAGCGAAAGCCAGGGGAGCAAACGGG